GCCCCGCCUCCCUCAUCCCCGCCCCGCCCACCCUCACGCUCCGCCCCCCGUCCCGCGACGACUUCCUGGGCCCCUCCCGCAACUCCACCCUGCUGUGCCAAAUCCGCGGCUCCCGGCGCGGCCUCGGCGCCGCCCCAUCCGCUGGCUGUGCGGCGGCGCAUCCCCGUGGGUCGCGACGGCGUACCGCCCUGCCGCCCGUGCGGAACCUUCCGGCCUCCUCGUGGCCGGCAGCCGCGUCGUGGUCACCGAGGCCGAGUGGGAGAGCGGCGCCGUGUUCACCUGCCAGGCCGGCGAGGAGAUGAGGAACACCAGCAAGGCCAUGGAGUGCGGAUACGACCACGCCGCCGCCCCCGCGCUGCGCGUGGAGCCCGUCCCGCCGCCCUUCGCCGAGCUGUUCCUGCGCUGGCGUGGCGGCGCUUGGCGUGCCGCGUGUCCAACCUGGCGCCGCCCUUGGGACGGGCUGGAGGUGGCGUGGGUGCGCGAGGCCGGCCGCGCUGCCCACGCCACGUCGGCGCCGGCGCCCGCAGCCCGACGGGCUCCUGUGGGCCGAGGGCGUGGCGGGCGUGGCCGCCAGGCGUGGCAGGCCGGGCGCCCGUUCACGUGCCGCGUGGCGCUGCCCGGCGCGCUGCUGUUCCCCAGGGAGGUCAGCAUCAGGAAGAGCGAGGUCCCGGACGCGUCCCCGCCCUCGGUCUACCUGCUGGCCCCGCCCCCGGAGCAGCUCCGCCUGCGCACCUGGGCCACGCUCACCUGCCUGGUGCGCGACUUCAACCCGCCCGAGCUGCUCGUCCAAUGGCUGCACGACGGCCGGCCCCUCCCGCCGGGCCGCGCCCUCACCUUCCGGCCCCGCCCCGACGACGGCCACGCCCCUUCCGGCCGCGCCCACCUGGCGCUGAGCACCUUGACGGUGCCGGCGAGCGACUGGGAGGGCGGCGGCGUCUUCACCUGCCUGGUGGGGCACGAGCGGCUGCCGCUGCGGCUGGCGCAGAAAUCGAUCGACAAAUCCGCCGGUAAACCCGCCAGCGUCAACGUCUCCCUCGUUUUUAGCGACUCCUUGAGCGGCUGUUACUGA